CAGUCGCCGCGGGAAUACGAAGGGUGCAAGCGUUAAUCGGAAUUACUGGGCGUAAAGCGUGCGUAGGCGGUUUGUUAAGUCUGUUGUGAAAUCCCCGGGCUCAACCUGGGAAUGGCAAUGGAUACUGGCAAGCUAGAGUGUGUCAGAGGAUGGUGGAAUUCCCGGUGUAGCGGUGAGAUGCGUAGAGAUCGGGAGGAACAUCAGUGGCGAAGGCGGCCAUCUGGGACAACACUGACGCUGAGGCACGAAAGCGUGGGGAGCAAACAGGAUUAGAGACCCGCGUAGUCCCUGUUUCUUAUAA
rnacentral:rRNA from 1 species